UAACGCGUUAAAUCGACCGCCUGGGGAGUACGGCCGCAAGGGUUAAAACUCAAAUGAAUUGACGGGGGCCCGCACAAGCGGUGGAGCAUGUGGUUUAAUUCGAUGCAACGCGAAGAACCUUACCUGGUCUUGACAUCCACAGAACUUUCCAGAGAUGGAUUGGUGCCUUCGGGAACUGUGAGACAGGUGCUGCAUGGCUGUCGUCAGCUCGUGUUGUGAAAUGUUGGGUUAAGUCCCGCAACGAGCGCAACCCUUAUCCUUUGUUGCCAGCGGUUCGGCCGGGAACUCAAAGGAGACUGCCAGUGAUAAACUGGAGGAAGGUGGGGAUGACGUCAAGUCAUCAUGGCCCUUACGACCAGGGCUACACACGUGCUACAAUGGCAUAUACAAAGAGAAGCGACCUCGCGAGAGCAAGCGGACCUCAUAAAGUAUGUCGUAGUCCGGAUUGGAGUCUGCAACUCGACUCCAUGAAGUCGGAAUCGCUAGUAAUCGUAGAUCAGAAUGCUACGGUGAAUACGUUCCCGGGCCUUGUACACACCGCCCGUCACACCAUGGGAGUGGGUUGCAAAAGAAGUAGGUAGC
rnacentral:rRNA from 1 species